UGUGGGGUGGAGCAGCUGGCAGCUCGUCGGGUUCAUGUCCCGAAGGUCGUGGGUUCGAAUCCCAUCCCCGCUACAA
rnacentral:tRNA from 1 species